UGAGUACGAGAUGCUACGGCAUCGAAGCAGUCUAUGUCAUACUUCCAAGAAAAGCUUGCACUGUCAGAAACAGAUAAUGCCUGUACCAUAACCGACACAGGUGGGUAGGUAGAGUAUACUAAGGGGCGCGAGAUAACUCUCUCUAAGGAACUCGGCAAAAUGACUCCGUAACUUCGGGAGAAGGAGUGCCUUAUUUUUAAGGUUGCAAUAACAAGAUCCAAGCAACUGUUUACCAAAAACACAGGUCUCCGCUAAGUCGUAAGACGAUGUAUGGGGGCUGACGCCUGCCCAGUGCCAGAAGGUUAAAGAAGUCGGUUAGCAUUCGCGAAGCUGGUAACUGAAGCCCUGGUGAACGGCGGCCGUAACAAUAACGGUCCUAAGGUAGCGAAAUUCCUUGUCGGGUAAGUUCCGACCCGCACGAAAGGCGUAAUGAUUUGGAUACUGUCUCGGAGAGGGGCUCGGUGAAAUAGACUUGUCUGUGAAGAUGCGGACUACCUGCACCUGGACAGAAAGACCCUAUGAAGCUUUACUGUAACUUGAAAUUGAAAUUGGACUUUAUUUGCGCAGUAUAGGUGGGAGGCGUUGAAAAUAUUCUUGCGGGAAUAUUGGAGCCAUCAGUGAGAUACCACUCUUGUAAUGUUAGAUUUCUAACUUUAUAUCAUUAUCUGGUUAAAGAACAGUUUCAGGCGGGCAGUUUGACUGGGGCGGUCGCCUCCCAAAUGGUAACGGAGGCGCACAAAGGUUUCCUCUGAACGGGUAGAAAUCGUAUCUAGAGUGUAAAGGCAUAAGGAAGCUUGACUGUGAGACCUACAAGUCGAGCAGGGACGAAAGUCGGUCUUAGUGAUCUGACGGUGCUGAGUGGAAAGGCCGUCACUCAACGGAUAAAAGUUACUCUAGGAUAACAGGCUGAUCUCCCCCAAGAGUUCACAUCGACGGGGAGGUUUGGCACCUCGAUGUCGGCUCAUCGCAUCCUGGGGCGGUAGUACGUCCCAAGGGUUGGGCUGUUCGCCCAUGAAAGCGGUACGCGAGCUGGGUUCAGAACGUCGUGAGACAGUUCGGUCCAUAUCCGGUGUAGGCGUUAGAAUAUUGAGAGGAGCCUUCUUUAGUACGAGAGGACCGAGAAGGACAUACCUCUGGUGUACCAGUUAUCGUGCCAACGGUAAACGCUGGGUAGCUAUGUAUGGAGUGGAUAACCGCUGAAAGCAUCUAAGUGGGAAGCCCACCUCAAGAUAAGUAUUCUCAUC
rnacentral:rRNA from 1 species